UACGUAGGAUGCAAGCGUUGUCCGGAAUUAUUGGGCGUAAAGAGCGCGCAGGCGGUGUAUCAAGUCAGAUGUGAAAGAGGCCGGCUUAACCGGCAAGGGUCAUUUGAAACUGAUAGACUAGAGUGCAGCAGAGGAUAGUGGAAUUCCCGGUGUAGUGGUGAAAUGCGUAGAUAUUCGGAAGAACACCAGUGGCGAAGGCGGCUCACUGGACUGGUAUUGACGCUGAGGUGCGAAAGCGUGGGGAGCAAACAGGG
rnacentral:rRNA from 1 species